rnacentral:tRNA from 1 species
CAAAUUAAAGCUUUAUAAGCAUUUUAUUUACAUUAAAAAGAUACUAUUAAUCUUAGUUAAUUUGA